GUUCUUCUCUCCUUUUUUGGGAGAGUGAGAGGGAGAAAACGCCGUCUGAGUGGU
rnacentral:snRNA from 1 species